UACGGGGGGAGCAAGCGUUGUUCGGAUUUACUGGGCGUAAAGGGCGCGUAGGCGGUCAGCACAAGUCAGUUGUGAAAUCUCCGGGCUUAACUCGGAAAGGUCAACUGAUACUGUGCGACUAGAGUGCAGAAGGGGCAACUGGAAUUCUCGGUGUAGCGGUGAAAUGCGUAGAUAUUCGCAAGAACACCAGUGGCGAAGGCGGCUCACUGGCCCGAUACUGACGCUGAGGCACGAAAGCGUGGGGAGCAAACAGG
rnacentral:rRNA from 1 species